rnacentral:rRNA from 1 species
UUCCAGACUCCUACGGGAGGCAGCAGUGGGGAAUAUUGCACAAUGGGGGGAACCCUGAUGCAGCGACGCCGCGUGGGUGAAGGAGUAUUUCGGUAUGUAAAGCCCUAUCAGCAGGGAAGAACAAUGACGGUACCUGACUAAGAAGCACCGGCUAAAUACGUGCCAGCAGCCGCGGUAAUACGUAGGGGGCAAGCGUUAUCCGGAUUUACUGGGUGUAAAGGGAGCGUAGACGGCACUGCAAGUCCGGAGUGAAAGCCCAAGGCUUAACCAUGGGACUGCUCUGGAAACUGUGGAGCUUGAGUGCGGGAGGGGCAGGCGGAAUUCCUAGUGUAGCGGUGAAAUGCGUAGAUAUUAGGAGGAACACCGGCGGCGAAGGCGGCCUGCUGGACCGUAACUGACGUUGAGGCUCGAAAGCGUGGGGAGCAAACAGGAUUAGAUACCCGAGUA